UUCGUUCGUCCAUUGCACUUUAGAUUCUCUCUCCAAUAUCAAAAACUUGGUAUUAACAUGUUUUAAUCCUGUUUUAAGCACCAGUUAAGAUUAGCAACAUAAAAAAAACCUCAGCUAAUACACCACCCUGAUGAUAGUGUCUUAAGCUCCACGCAUUUCAUUUCAUCAUCAGGCUCCUAAAGAAGAAUCCCUCCUUGUGUCCAAAUUGGAAUCCGAUGAUCAGGAUGAUUCCAGUGGGGGAAUAUCUGUCCAGCUUUCCACACCAAGUUCUCGUGAGAAGUUCUUUCUGAGAGAGCGCUUGGUUCGUCACCACAGAGAAACAUUCCUCCACCAUUUUUAAGCUUUUGCUCCAUCCCACUUAUUUAAAGAGCUCACACUCCGCAAGUUGGACCUCCUACACACACUCUCAAAGAGAAGAGAAGAUUGAUAGUGAAAAGAUGGACGCGUUAGCUUCCGACAGCGUCCCAUGGCUGUCACGGCUGCUAUCCGCUCUAAGAACUGGAAUUGCAUGCUUACUUGUCUUGCUUGGUGUGUCCAAAGCCAGCCGUUUUGUUGAAUUCCCCGUCUUUGGAUAUGUUGUCACAGUUCUCGUGCUCAGCGAGUCGGCACUCGGCAAAGCUCUCGAAGAUGCUGCCUUUGUCAUGUAUGGAACUCUCCAGGCUGCUGCAUUCUCGAUGGUGGUGCUGUCGAUCAUAGGUGAGUCAGUGGUUUCUCUCGAGUUUAACAAAAGGGAAAGCACCUGGGAGCUGAUCAUCGUCUUGGUUUUUGCCUCCUCCAUUCCUCCAGGAACGAAGAACUUCUCGCUCGGCGUGUGCCUCACUUGUAUCUUCGUCAAGAGCUUCCUGUGGAGCUAUCUCCCGAACCAAAAGCCAGUGAAGAAGAGGCUCGCGCUGGCCAUCACCACCAUCGUCUACGUGAAUGCGUACAACAAUCCCCUGACUCAUCCGGUCUUCUUUCCGCUCAAGUUGACGCUCACCACCACGCUCGGCACUGUGUCUGCGAUAAUUGCCUUGAUAUUCCCCGUGCCACGCCUCUCAGCUUAUCAGGUACCAUUCGCUUUACUUUGAGUCAUUCACCCCCCUUUAAAGUUUUUGGUUCCUCCAUUCUCCCCGCAAGCCGUGUCUUGUAGGAACACUCAGCCGGCAUGCCACUUUCCGUCACGAUUCCGUCCAAAAGCCUUUGAUCCACCUAGGAAGCCUUCCUUUCGGUCCCAACACUUCCAAGCUUCAUAACCUCUGCGCUUACGUUUGUUCUUCUGCUUCACAGGUGCAAUAUAACACGAAGCUCUUCGCCAAGCUCGCGAUGGAAAACUUUGCUGUCCUUGUCCAUGCAUUCUGCAGUAACGACCAAGAAGAGAUCACGAGUUUGUGCCUGCAAUCCAAAUCAGUGCAGCGAGCUGCUUUGAAAGCGUACUCGGAGAUACAGAGAAGAAAAGUAACGUACCUCAGAGAAGGAAACUCUCUCAUACUGACAGUGUGUGCUACAUACAGGUUGAAACAGCUUGGGAGCCUGGGGUUUUGGUUCAAGCAAGGAGUCAAGGUGAAAACGUGAGCCGAAUGAUAACCAACAUGAAUCAGUACCUGAUUGGGAUGAACAUCGCGAUUCAGCAAGGUGCAGCUGUUUCGAAGCUGGUUCAAGAUAUGACGAGGAACUCCUUGGAGAAACUCGGGAGCUGGAGCAACUCUUUUCUG
rnacentral:lncRNA from 1 species